UCUACGGGGGGCAGCAGUAGGGAAUCUUCCACAAUGGACGAAAGUCUGAUGGAGCAACGCCGCGUGAGUGAAGAAGGGUUUCGGCUCGUAAAGCUCUGUUGGUAGUGAAGAAAGAUAGAGGUAGUAACUGGCCUUUAUUUGACGGUAAUUACUUAGAAAGUCACGGCUAACUACGUGCCAGCAGCCGCGGGAAUACGUAGGUGGCAAGCGUUGUCCGGAUUUAUUGGGGGUAAAGCGAGUGCAGGCGGGUUAAUAAGUCUGAUGUGAAAGCCUUUGGCUCAACCGGAGAAUU
rnacentral:rRNA from 1 species